rnacentral:tRNA from 1 species
GGGCCUAUAGCUCAGCUGGUUAGAGCGCACGCUUGAUAAGCGUGAGGUCGAUGGUUCAAGUCCAUCUAGGCCCA